rnacentral:rRNA from 1 species
GCUUACGGCCAUACCCUGAACGCGCCCGAUCUCGUCUGAUCUCGGAAGCCAAGCAGGGUCGGGCCUGGUCAGUACUUGACGGGAGACCGCCUGGGAAUACCAGGUGCUGUAAGCU